rnacentral:snRNA from 1 species
GUCCCGUCACGGACAUCUAACAAAAUUGAAACGAUACAAAGAAGAUUAACACAGUCGUUCCUGUGCAAUGACGACAGGCAAAAUUUGAGAAAUGGUUCAAAUUACU